rnacentral:misc_RNA from 2 species
AACGCAUCUUGCGCUUGCUGGUAUUCCGGCAAGCAUGCCUGUUUGAGUGUCAUGAAAAUUAUCAACCAUGCCUUGGGUUUAGGCCCUCGUGCUUGGCUUGGAUUUGGGUGCUUGCGGUCUCGUGCUGCUCACCUUAAAAGGAUUAGCUGGACAUGUCGUGAGACUUGGUUCUACUUGGCGUAAUAAGUAUUUCGCUGAGGACAUCCCUUCUGGGGUGGCCAAGACUCUGGCAAACGUCUGCUUUCUAACCCGACUGUCUUCGGACAUCACUUUUUAUGAUCUGGCCUCAAAUCAGGUAGGACUACCCGCUGAACUUAA